rnacentral:lncRNA from 1 species
UUUAAAUUUCUGUUUUUCGAAAAAUCAACUCAUAUUGCGAGAAGUGAGUUGAGCCUCGGGUCACACGCUGAGGUAUUUCUUUUAAAUUUCUAUUUUUCAAAAAAAAAUCAACUCAUAUUACAGAGAUGAGUUGAGCCUCAGGUCACGCUGAGGUAUUUCUUUUAAAUUUCUGUUUUUUUUCAAAAAAUCAACUCAUAUUGCGAGAGGUGAGUUGAGCCUCGAAUCAUGCCGAGGUAUUUCUUUUAAAUUUCUGUUUUUUCAAAAAAAUCAACUCAUAUUGCGAGAGGUGAGUUGAGCCUCGGGUCACGCUGAGGUAUUUCUUUUAAAUCUCUGUUUUUCAAAAAAAAUCAACUCAUAUUGCGAGAAGUGAGUUGAGCCUCGGGUCGCACGCUGAGGUAUUUCUUUUAAAUUUCUAUUUUUCAAAAAAAAAAUCAACUCAUAUUACAGAGGUGAGUUGAGCAUCGGGGUCACGCUGAGGUAUUUCUUUUAAAUUUCUGUUUUUUUUCCAAAAAAUCAACUCAUAUUUUGAGAAGUGAGUUGAGCCUCGGGUCGCACGCUGAGGUAUUUCUUUUAAAUUUCUAUUUUUCAAAAAAAAUCAACUCAUAUUACAGAGAUGAGUUGAGCCUCUGGUCACGCUGAGGUAUUUCUUUUAAAUUUCUGGUUUCAAAAAUCAACUCAUAUUGCGCGAGGUGAGUUGAGCCUCGGGUCGCACGCUGAGGUAUUUUAAAUUUCUGCUUUUCAAAAAAUCAACUCAUAUUGCGAGAGGUGAGUUGAGCCUCGAGUCGCACGCUGAGGUAUUUCUUUUAAAUUUCUGUUUUCAAAAAUCAACUCAUAUUGCGAGAGGUGAGUUGAGCCUCGGGUCGCACGCUAUUUCUUUGAAGCUGUAGUUCGCACCCGGAUCAACUCAUAUUGCGAGAGGUGAGUUGAGCCUCGGGUCACGCUGAGGUAUUUCUUUUAAAUCUCUGUUUUUCAGAAAAAAAUCAACUCAUAUUGCGAGAAGUGAGUUGAGCCUCGGGUCGCACGCUGAGGUAUUUCUUUUAAAUUUCUGUUUUUUCAAAAAAAAUCAACUCAUAUUGCGAGAAGUGAGUUGAGCCUCGGGUCGCACGCUGAGGUAUUUCGUUUAAAUUCCUGUUUUUAAAAAAAAAUCAACUCAUAAUGCGAGAGGUGAGUUGUAUGAGUUGAGUAUCGGGUCACAUGUCGAGGUAUUUUCUUUUAAAUUUCUGUUUUUCAAAAAAAUCAACUCAUAUUGCGAGAAGUGAGUUGAGCCUCAGGCCACACGCCGAAGUAUUUUCGAUUUCUAUUUUUCAAAUAAAAAGAAAAUUUUGGACAGUCGAAUAAAAUUCAGUGCUUUUAAGUCUUUGCUCUAUCCCUGUUUCACAGCGAUGAGCAAAGAGGGGCAGCUGUAAUCACUGAAUUUUGUCCGGCUCGAUUUCGUGCUUUUUUUAAAAAAAUACAAAAAAAUACAAAAAAUAAAAAAAUUAUAUUUUGACCCCCUAAACUUUUUGAAAUUGCAUUUUCACCCCUAAACUUUACUAAAAUUACAUUUUUGCCCAUCAACUUCUUGAAAUUAUAUUUUGACCCCUAAAUUUUCUCAAAAUUAUGCUUGGCCCCAAAAGUUUUGCUACAUUUCCGAUCUGGUCCCUCUGGCAGACAGGCGCGAUUUGCGCACCUGCCUUCCGUGAUUUUCGACCGUUGGCCCAGUGCAUGGCCUCCCCUCUCCGCUGCUACCUGAAAACAAAGAGAAAGAAGACAAAAAUCAAGAGAUUAAAAAGACAAUGAAAAGAGAGAGGGAGGGGGAUAGCAAUCAAAAAAAAAUUCAAAGCCAAAAGAAAAUAAGCAAAGAAAUUCCAAAAAAAAAAGCUCUCAAUCCGGCCGAUUGCCUCCACCGCCACCACGUCCGUCGCGCCACCACCAUUGUCAUCUCACCGUCGAGUCCUAAACGCAAAAAACAAAAACAAAAAGCAAGCAAAAAAAACAACAGUAGAGAAACCAAAAAAUCAAACAGCAGCGAGUAAAAGCCCUCACCACCGUCGCUUGACCAUCGCCAUCGUCGUCUUCCCCUUUCCUCCGCCGCCGACUCCUACAACACAAUCAACCAACACAACAAGCAAGGAGAAGAUAAAAGUGCAGUAAAUAAAAAGAAAAAACAGCAACCCAAAGGAAAAAGAGAGAAAAAAAGAAGAGAAAAGAAAGAAAAGAGGAAGAGAAGGGGAGGCGCGCCGGCCACCGCACCACCGGGCCGAAGGAGUGUCGUUGACGGCGCAAAAGGGCUAGGAUUCGGCCCGAGGAAGAAGAAGAAAAAGAAAAAAAAGGAAGAAAAAGAGAGAAGAAAAAGAGAAAGAAAAAAGAAAAAAAAAUAAAAAGCUAACAGUCGGGUCAAACCGACCCGACCCGAAAUUGGACCCGACCCAGCAGUCCAACACCGACCCCCCAGCAACCCAGCAGCAGUAGGCCCAUUCCCAGUGGCCCAAAACAGCAACCAGCAAAAAAAAAGCAAGCAGCAGCAGAAAAAAAGGCCAGCAAGCCUGUCCAAGCCCAACAAGCCUGACCCAGUCCAGCAAGCCCAGAACAGCAGCCCCAACAGUGCCAGCAGACCCAGGCCCGUUCCAGCAGUAGGCCAGCAUCCAGCCCAGCUCCCAGCGGCCCGAUCUGCAGAAAAGAAAAAGAAAAAAGAGAAAAGGCCCAUUUUCAAGCCCAUAACUUUGGGCUUUUGGUAAUUUUUUUAACCCAUGUUAAUUUAGUUAAUUUAUUUAAAUAUUGUCUUAUUGUAAUUAAAUUAGCAUUUUUAAAAAUAGUUUUUUUAGAAACAUUAUUAUGUGUAAUUUUAUUUGUAUUUUUUUAAAAUAUAAAAAAAUUAUUUUAAUGCAUAAGGCAACGAACCGAUUUAAUAUCGAGCCGUUGAUUUCAUCGCUAUGUUGGGUGAAUAUCGAUGGCUCGUGUUAAAUAUGGGACGCCCUUCUAACAAUCGAAAAUAUUCGAAAUUCCUCGUAUUUUAAUAAAAUUCUCGUGUUUUAUUAGAAUCCCGAUUAAAUAUUAAAUUGAAUCAGUUUGACACUAAUUCGACGAUUUCAUCGCCAUGUCGGGGUGAAUAUCAUCGAUUCGUGUUAAAUACGGUAUUAAAAAGAAUCGUGUUUCAAAAAUUUUCAUGUCUUCAAAAUUUCUCGUGUUUCAAAAUAAUAAUAAUAAAUUUUCUCGUGUUUCAAAAAUAUAUGUUCGUGUUUCUUUUUUAAAAAAAAAAUUAAUUUUCCGUGUUUUCAAAAAUUCCCUUGUUUGAAAAAUGUUCGUGUUUUCGUGUUUUCAAAAAAAUAAUUUCUCGUGUUUCAAAAAAAAACUUAUGCGAAUAUUUCUUUUGAUGUUAUCGUGUUUUCAAAAAAAAAUUCCCGUGUUUGAAAAAUUUUCAUGUUUCCGUGUUUUAAAAAAAAAUUCGUGUUUCAAAAAUUUUCGUGUUUUCAAAAAAAUUGACCGUGUUUCAUAAAUUUUCGUGUUUCAAAAAAUCCUCGUGUUUCGUAUUUUAUCAAAAAAUUUAUGUUUUCAAAAAAAUUUUGUGUUUUAAAAAUUUUCGUGUUUCAAAAAGAAAAUUCGUGUUUCCUAAAAAAAUCUCGUGUUUCAAAAUUUUUGUUUUUUUUUAAAAAGAGUUUCGCGUUUCUAAAAUGCUUGUAUUUUAAAAAAAUUUUGUGUUUUCAAAAAAAAAAGGAAAAGUUGUUGUGCUUUAAAAUUUUCGGGCUUUAAUCGGAUCACGACUAAUAUUAAAUUGAACUCGUAUUUUUGAAAAUGAAGACAACACGCGUUUAACGAGAUACCAGUUUUGGGCGUCGCGAGGGUGCUAAUACCUUCCUCGCGCGUAACCGACUCCCGAACCCUACUUUUCUCUGAAUUUUCACGCAGACCUAAAAUUUCCUCUUUUUAGAAAAGCUUAAAAAUAAAGUUUUCUAAAAAAGGAGAAUUUUGUAAGUGUCCGAUCACACCUAGAUUGGCCAAUGCUCAAAUAAUUUUGUAAGGUGGCGACUCCUUUUUCAAAUAAAAUCGAGAUUCGGUUUUUAAGUUUUCAAUAAUUACUUCAACUAGCGCCCGAUGCUCAAUUUUUAGGUCGCUACACAAGGAAUGACCAACACCUGUUAAUGGCUUGACGAGGUGUCGCUCUCAAUGAAGUGUUGAUUGGCACAAUAUCCUCUAAAAGAAGGCUAUAAAAAUGGAGUUCAAGUAAUUGAAGGAUUUGUUCUCAGUUCUCUACUUUAUACCACGAC